rnacentral:rRNA from 1 species
UAUUGGUCAAUAGCCUAACGGCUGAACCCAGCAACUUGGAAGGAACGUAUAGCGAAAGCUGUCUACAUUGAUUAUUAAUUAGUGUGGAAUUGACUGUGUCAAAUAAAGUUCGAAGUAAAUUAUGAUAAUGACAUUUUUUGCUUUUAAGUCUUGACCAAGUCAUGUGCCAGCAGUCGCGGUAAUACAUGGAAGACAAGUGUUAUUCAUCUUAAUUAGGUUUAAAGGUACCUAGACGGAGAAUUAAGCCCCAAAAGGGUACUAAUAAGCUAGAGUUUUAGAUAAGAGGGGGAGUACUAAUGGAGUAGAGAUGAAAUUCUGUCAUACCAUUAUUGGAACAGAUGACAGCGAAAGCAAUCCUUUAUGUAUAAACUGACGUUGAAGGACGAAGGCUCGAGACACGAACAGGAUUAGAUACCCUAGUAGUUCGGGCAGACAAUGAUGAGUGUCAUAGGUUAGAGAAUAUUUAGUCUAUAAAUGAAAGUGUAAGCAUUCCACCUCAAGAGUAAUGUGGCAACGCAGAAACUGUAAUCAUUAGACCGUUUUUGAAACCAGUAGUGAAGUAUGUUGUUUAAAUUGUUAGUCCGCAAAAAACCUUACCACAAUUUGUAUAUUUAUAAGGCUUUCUUAUAAUUACAAGCGUUGCACGGCUGUCUUCAGUUAAUGUCGUGAGAUUUUGGUUAGUUCCAUAAAAUUAACGUAAACCCUUGCUUUAUUUAAAAUUUAAAAUAAAGUAGCUCGCCACUAUAUUGGAUAUGCUAAGAGGGACUAAGACAAGUCAUCAUGACCUGAAUAUUGUGGGCUAUAGACGUGCCACAUAAGCCUAUACAAAGGGAUGCUAAAUUGCAAAAUAUAGCUAACCCCCCUAAAACAGGAUAUAAAAUGG